rnacentral:rRNA from 1 species
AUGGAGUUUCCGAUGCAGCCAAUGGGCAGAUCCAGUGUCCUUGAGGAAGUAGGAGAGAGCUUGGUGCCGGCCCCUGUGCCAAUGGCGCCGACGGGAGCCGGUAUGCUGACUCUCCUUCAGGUCGUAGGAGAUUGCAUCCUCCAAGAUUCCGUACGGCUCCAUUCUCUUUCUCAGCGUGCUCAUGCCCAACCAGAUUCCCCCUGCUGGAGGUGGGAGAGAGUCAACGGAUCCGCCACCGAAGGCCGCGACGAGCAAAGUCUUCGCGGCGGAGGAGGGACGGUCAAAUCCCAAUUGAUUUGUCAGCCUGCCAUGAGCAUGGACGGUGAAAUAUGUGCAGAAGAUUUACGUCUUGAGCAGAGACGUGAGAGCUUGCCACAAGCAUCAAUGGUCAAAAAGGUUUGUUCGUCGAUUGAAUGA